rnacentral:rRNA from 1 species
GACGAACGCUGGCGGCGUGCUUAACACAUGCAAGUCGAACGGAAAGGCCCUGCUUUUGUGGGGUGCUCGAGUGGCGAACGGGUGAGUAACACGUGAGUAACCUGCCCUUGGCUUUGGGAUAACUUCAGGAAACUGGGGCUAAUACCGGAUAGGAGCUCCUGCUGCAUGGUGGGGGUUGGAAAGUUUCGGCGGUUGGGGAUGGACUCGCGGCUUAUCAGCUUGUUGGUGGGGUAGUGGCUUACCAAGGCUUUGACGGGUAGCCGGCCUGAGAGGGUGACCGGCCACAUUGGGACUGAGAUACGGCCCAGACUCCUACGGGAGGCAGCAGUGGGGAAUAUUGCACAAUGGGCGGAAGCCUGAUGCAGCAACGCCGCGUGCGGGAUGACGGCCUUCGGGCUGUAAACCGCUUUCGCCUGUGACGAAGCGUGAGUGACGGUAAUGGGUAAAGAAGCACCGGCUAACUACGUG